rnacentral:rRNA from 1 species
GGAUCAUUAAUGAAUUACUUGGGUGCUGAUGCUGGUCUAUGCAAAUAGGCACUGUGCUCGCAUUCAUCUAUUCUAUCUAUCUCUUGUGCACCAACGAUAGCUUUGCUGGUUUUGGAGCCUGGGCGGAAACGCACUUGCUCUGUUGAACAGUGGAGAUCAUGAGCGGGAAACCGCACUGUCUCUGGUUCGCCUUCAGCAGGCUAUAUUUUAUAUACCCUUAGUAUGUUUUAGAAUGUCUUUUUAUUGACCUUUCGGUCGGUAAAUCUAUACAACUUUCAGCAACGGAUCUCUUGGCUCUCCCAUCGAUGAAGAACGCAGCGAAAUGCGAUAACUAAUGUGAAUUGCAGAAUUCAGUGAAUCAUCGAGUCUUUGAACGCACCUUGCGCCCUUUGGUAUUCCGAAGGGCAUGCCUGUUUGAGUGUCAUUAAAUUCUCAACCUUGAAAGCUUUUGUUUUCAAGGCUUGGAUGUGAGGGUUUGCUGGCUUCUAAAGUCUGCUCCCUUUAAAUGCAUUAGUGGGAUCCUUUUGUGGACCGACGGUGUGAUAAUUAUCUACGCCGCUCUGUGAAGCAAAAAACCUAUAGGAAACCUGCUUAUAACCGUCCGCAAGGACAAUUACUUGACAAUUUGACCUCAAAUCAGGUAGGACUACCCGCUGAACUUAAGCAUAUCAAUAAGCGGAGGAAAAGAAACUAACAAGGAUUCCCUUAGUAACUGCGAGUGAAGCGGGAAAAGCUCAAAUUUAAAAUCUGGCGGCUCUGCCGUCCGAGUUGUAAUUUAGAGAAGUGUUACCCGUGCUGGACCGUGCACAAGUCUCUUGGAAUAGAGCGUCAUAGAGGGUGAGAAUCCCGUCUUUGGCACGGACUCCCAGUGCAUAGUGGUGCGCUCUCGAAGAGUCGAGUUGUUUGGGAAUGCAGCUCAAAAUGGGUGGUAAAUUCCAUCUAAAGCUAAAUAUUGGGGAGAGACCGAUAGCGAACAAGUACCGUGAGGGAAAGAUGAAAAGAACUUUGGAAAGAGAGUUAAACAGUACGUGAAAUUGCUGAAAGGGAAACGCUUGAAGUCAGUCGCGUCGUUCAGGAUUCAGCCUUGCUUUUGCUUGGUUUACUUCCUGUCCUGACGGGUCAGCAUCAGUUUUGGCCAGUGGAUAAGGAUGUGGAGAAUGUGGCACCUUCGGGUGUGUUAUAGCUCUGCGUCGCAUACAUUGGUUGGGACUGAGGAACUCAGCACGCCGCAAGGCCGGGUUU